rnacentral:rRNA from 1 species
GAUGAACGCUGGCGGCGUGCCUAAUACAUGCAAGUCGAGCGAACAGACGAGGAGCCUGCUCCUCUGACGUUAGCGGCGGACGGGUGAGUAACACGUGGAUAACCUACCUAUAAGACUGGGAUAACUUCGGGAAACCGGAGCUAAUACCGGAUAAUAUAUUGAACCGCAUGGUUCAAUAGUGAAAGACGGUUUUGCUGUCACUUAUAGAUGGAUCCGCGCCGCAUUAGCUAGUUGGUAAGGUAACGGCUUACCAAGGCAACGAUGCGUAGCCGACCUGAGAGGGUGAUCGGCCACACUGGAACUGAGACUCGGUCCAGACUCCUACGGGAGGCAGCAGUAGGGAAUCUUCCGCAAUGGGCGAAAGCUUGACGGAGCAACGCCGCGUGAGUGAUGAAGGUCUUCGGAUCGUAAAACUCUGUUAUUAGGGAAGAACAAAUGUGUAAGUAACUAUGCACGUCUUGACGGUACCUAAUCAGAAAGCCACGGCUAACUACGUG